rnacentral:lncRNA from 8 species
UGAGGAUAACACAGUGCCACCGAUGCGGCCCGCAACCAAGGACUGUGGGCUCUCCAUCUCCAUGGGCUCUGCAUUUAAGCGUGUUAACCCUCGCAAGGCUGCUGGCCCAGACAGCAUCCCUAGCCACGUCCACAGAGCAUGCACACACCAGCUGGCUGAUGUGUUUACGGACAUAUUCAAACUCUCCCUAUCCCAUUCUACUGUCCCCACAUGCUUCAAGAUGGCCACCAUUGUUCCUGUACCCAAGAAAGCAAAGGUAACUGAAAUAAAUGACUAUCGCCUCGUAGCACUCACUUCUGUCAUCAUGAAGUGCUUUGAGAGACUAGUCAAGGUUCAUAUCACCUCUGCCUUACUUGUCACCCUAGACCCACUUCAAUUUGCUUACCGCCCCAAUAGAUCCACAGACAAUGCAAUUGCCAUCACACUGCACACUGCCCUAUCCCAUCUAGACAAGAGGAAUACGUAUGUAAGAAUGCUGUUCAUUGACUAUAGCUCAGCAUUCAACACCAUAGUACCCUCCAAGCUCAUCAUUAAGCUUGAGGCCCAGGAACUGAACCCCGCCCCGUGCCACUGGGUCCUGGACAUCCUGACGGGCCGCCCCCAGGUGGUGAAGGUAGGAAACAACACCUCCACUACGCUGAUCCUCAACACUGGGGCCCCACAUGGGUGCAUGCUCAGUCCCCUCCUGUACUCCCUGUUCACCCAUGACUGCGUGGCCAAGCACGCCUCCAACUCAAUCAUCAAGUUUGCAGAUGACACAACAUUGGUAGGCUUGAUUACCAACAAUGUCGAGACAGCCUACAGGGAGGAGAUGAGGGCUCUGGGAGUGUGGUGCCAGGAAAAUAACCUCUCACUCAACAUCAACAAAACAAAGGAGAUGAUAGUGGACUUCAGGAAACAACAGAGGGAGCACUCCCCUAUCUAAAUUGAGGGGAAGGUGGAAAGCUUCAAGUUCCUCGGCGUCCACAUUUACAGAUGCACAAUCGAGAGCAUUCUGUCAGGCUGUAUCAGUACUUGGUACAGCAACUGCACCGCCCACAUCUGCAGGGCUCUCCACAGGGUGGUGCGGUCUGCCCAACGCAUCACCGGGGGCAAACUACCUGCCCUCUAGGACACCUACAGCACCCAAUGUCACAGGAAGGCCAAAAAGAUCAUCAAAGACAGCAACCAGCCG